AGAAGUGUGCCCGAGAAUCCAGGGGUUAUUUUGAUGAAAUAAACACAGACACCAAAUCUCACUUCU
rnacentral:tRNA from 1 species